rnacentral:rRNA from 1 species
UACGUAGGGUGCGAGCGUUGCCCGGAUUUAUUGGGCGUAAAGGGCGCGCAGGCGGCUACGCACGUCCGUUGUGAAAUCGCUCGGCUCAACUGGGAGGGGUCAGCGGAUACGGCGCGGCUGGAGCGAGGUAGGGGGCAAUGGAAUUCCCGGUGUAGUGGUGGAAUGCGUAGAUAUCGGGAGGAACACCAGUGGCGAAGGCGGUUGCCUGGACCUCUGCUGACGCUGAGGCGCGAAAGCGUGGGGAG